rnacentral:hammerhead_ribozyme from 1 species
AUCAAGCUGACGAGUCCCAAAUAAGAAGAAACGUGCGUGCUGGAU